rnacentral:rRNA from 1 species
GACGAACGCUGGCGGCGCGCUUAACACAUGCAAGUCGAGCGAGAACCGGCCCUUCGGGGCCGGGGACAGCGGCGAACGGGUGAGUAACACGUGGGUAAUCUGCCCUCGGCAUCGGGAUAGCCCGGGGAAACCCGGAUUAAUACCGAAUGGCCCAUCCGCUCUUCGGGGCGGCUGGAAAAGGUAGCGUUCAGCCUCCGGCCGAGGAGGAGCCCGCGGCGGAUUAGCUUGUUGGUGGGGUAACGGCCUACCAAGGCGACGAUCCGUAGCUGGUCUGAGA